rnacentral:rRNA from 1 species
CAAAUUUUAAAUCUACCUGGUUUCCAGGUCGAGUUGUAAUUUGAAGAAGUGUUUUUUACUUUCCGGGUUGGGUUAAAUCCUUUGGGAUAAGGUAUCAUGGAGGGUGAGAAUCCCGUGUAUACCAACCGCAGGAUUGUUUAAUAUACACUUUCUAAGAGUCGAGUUGUUUGGGAAUGCAGCUCUAAAUGGGUGGUAAAUUUCACCUAAUGCUAAAUAUAAGCGAGAGACCGAUAGCGAACAAGUACCGUGAGGGAAAGAUGAAAAGAACUUUGAAAAGAGAGUUAAAUAGUACGUGAAAUUGUUGAAAGGGAAACGGUUGAAGUCAGUCAUGCCGGCGGGAAUCAACUUAGGGGAAACUCUGAGUGCACUUCUUCGCUUGGCAGGUUAGCGUCGAUUUUGGAUGUCAUAAAAUGACUGGGGGAAGGUAGCUCUUUCGGGAGUGUUAAGCCCUURGUAGAUGUGAUGUCYGGGAUCGAGGAUUGCAACGGAUACCUUUUGGGCUAGCCGCCUAGUCUCUAAUACGAAGUUGGGUUAUGGACAGCACGCUGACUGUGAUCUGAUUUUCGGUAAAAGAUUAG